rnacentral:rRNA from 1 species
UACGUAGGGUCCGAGCGUUGUCCGGAAUUACUGGGCGUAAAGAGCUCGUAGGUGGUUUGUCGCGUUGUUCGUGAAAACUCACAGCUCAACUGUGGGCGUGCGGGCGAUACGGGCAGACUUGAGUACUGCAGGGGAGACUGGAAUUCCUGGUGUAGCGGUGGAAUGCGCAGAUAUCAGGAGGAACACCGGUGGCGAAGGCGGGUCUCUGGGCAGU